rnacentral:rRNA from 1 species
GCUUAGCUAUAAACAUAUCAUCGCCAGAAAAGUAGAGGCCACAGCCCGAAACUCAAAAGACCUGGCGGUACCCCACACCAACCUAGAGGAGCCUGUGCUAUAAUCGAUAACCCGCGAUCAACCUUACCACCCCUUGCAACUCCAGCCUGUAUACCGCCGUCGUCAGCCCACCUCCCAAGAGAACGGAGCUAAACAACCCCCCCAUAAAAACGACAGGUCAAGGUGCAGCUUAUGAGGUGGCACGCAUGGGCUACAAUGCCACAUUCAUGGCCAAACGAAACUCGAGCUGAACUUCACCCAUUUAACCUCGAACUAAGCAGGAUUUAGUAGUAAGAUCAAUAAGAACAUUGAUCUGAAUCUAUGCGCUGGGGUACU